rnacentral:rRNA from 1 species
CCCCUAGAUGUUCUGGGCCGCACGCGCGCUACACUGAACAGUUCAACAAGUCUUAACCUUGGCCGAUAGGUCUGGGUAAUCUUUGAACGCUGUUCGUGAUUGGGAUAGACCUUUGCAAUUAAGGGUCUUCAACGAGGAAUUCCUAGUAAACGCAAGUCAUCAGCUUGCAUUGAUUACGUCCCUGCCCUUUGUACACACCGCCCGUCGCACCUACCGAUUGAAUGGUCCGGUGAAAUCUCGGGACGGCGGCUUGGUCGCUUGCGUCCGACUGCUGAAACUUGAUUAAACCAUAUCAUUUAGAGGAAGGUGAAGUCGUAACA